CCAUACCUUAUAUGAAGGAAUAGUAGAGGAAUCAUAGUAAAAGAGAGGCUACUUAGAAACUCAAAGCAGACAUGAGGGUUAAGUAUCCAAAGCUCUUCAAAACUUCAGGUAUGUUAAUUUUGAGUAUAAAAAAUUUUAAGGAGGGAGAAUGUGAUGGCCAACCCCUUAAGCCUUUGGACUGGCUUGAGAUACCUAGGCCGAUCUUCAAUUAAAAUCACGUGCUUAGCACAUAAGAGCG
rnacentral:lncRNA from 1 species